UGUAACAGGCAAUUUCUUGAG
rnacentral:piRNA from 1 species